rnacentral:rRNA from 1 species
GAUGAACGCUGGCGGCGUGCUUAACACAUGCAAGUCGAACGGAAAGGCUCCUGCUUGCAGGGGUACUCGAGUGGCGAACGGGUGAGUAACACGUGGGUGAUCUGCCAUGCACUUCGGGAUAAGCCUGGGAAACUGGGUCUAAUACCGGAUAGGACGAUGGUUUGGAUGCCAUUGUGGAAAGUUUUUCGGUGUGGGGUGAGGUCGCGGCCUAUCAGCUUGUUGGUGGGGUAAUGGCCUACCAAGGCGUCGACGGGUAGCCGGCCUGAGAGGGUGUACGGCCACAUUGGGACUGAGAUACGGCCCAGACUCCUACGGGAGGCAGCAGUGGGGAAUAUUGCACAAUGGGCGCAAGCCUGAUGCAGCGACGCCGCGUGGGGGAUGACGGCCUUCGGGUUGUAAACUCCUUUCGCUAGGGACGAAGCGUUUUGUGACGGUACCUGGAGAAGAAGCACCGGCUAACUACGUG